GCGCGAGUGGCGGAAUUGGUAGACGCGCAGGAUUUAGGUUCCUGUUCCACUGGAGUGAGGGUUCAAGUCCCUUCUCGCGCA
rnacentral:tRNA from 4 species